rnacentral:lncRNA from 1 species
AGAGAAGCCGCCUUGGAUGGACAGAGGGACGGAGCAGCAAGCAUCCGGCCUCCCCGGCUUCCCUGCAGCGGUCUCCAACUGCUGUCUGCCCGCUGCCCGCCUGCCUGGCAUCUCUCUCCCGGUGCUAGCUGCAUUCCUGGCCUGGGAGCAGGGAGCCUGUCUGACCCCUGUGUCACACUGGAUGGUUUUACAGAGGUGCCCCACCUGAUGCUGGAUGGAAGUCAUCACCCUACAGUGUGGGUAUCAAGGGGGGAGCAAGGGGGCUAGGAAGCUCCAGAGGGAUUAGGUGGUCUCCAGUCACUCCCCUCUGUGUGAACCCUGCUGCUCUUCCACUCUGGAGCUGGAAAGCUGUCAGCUGCCACGCCAUGGUGCCAAGCACAUAGUAGGACUUCAAGCAUGUUUGCCCUGUACUUGUCUGCUCUUGACUGACUUCAAAGCCUUGUCCCCCAACUACCCACACGGCCACCUUACUCAACAGAAAUAUUCCUGUGAUAGAGACAGAAGGGCCCCCUGUUGGUCUGGAGGGUAUGGGGGGCAUUGAUCUCCCCACUAUCCAAACCAGACACCUUAUCUCUAAACCGUCAUGCACCUCCCCAGACCACUCCUACCUUCUGUCACAGACAUCAGUCAUCCUUGCUGCUCACCUCCCUGGACUGGAGCAGCAGGACGGGAUGCCUCCCAACCUGCACAGGAGCAGGAGGAGGCUCCAGGACCUGAGGGUGGGGAGGUAAUUGUUGAGUUAGUCUUACUUGUCUCAACCUUUGCAGGGUCCUUUUAUGACAGGCCGCAAGGUCACCAUAUGACAAAC